rnacentral:tRNA from 1 species
UUUCGUAGUGUAGUGGUUAGCACUCCAGACUUUGAAUCUGGCGACCUGGGUUCGAAUCCCGGCGAGA